rnacentral:rRNA from 1 species
AACGAACGCUGGCGGCGUGCCUAAUACAUGCAAGUCGAGCGGAAGUUGAGGAGCUUGCUCUUCAACUUUAGCGGCGGACGGGUGAGUAACACGUGGGCAACCUGCCCUGCAGAUCGGGAUAACUCCGGGAAACCGGUGCUAAUACCGAAUAGUUUUCGCCACCUCCUGGUGGCGUACGGAAAGACGGUUUCGGCUGUCACUGCAUGACGGGCCCGCGGCGCAUUAGCUAGUUGGUGGGGUAACGGCCCACCAAGGCGACGAUGCGUAGCCGACCUGAGAGGGUGAUCGGCCACACUGGGACUGAGACACGGCCCAGACUCCUACGGGAGGCAGCAGUAGGGAAUCUUCCGCAAUGGACGAAAGUCUGACGGAGCAACGCCGCGUGAGUGACGAAGGUUUUCGGAUCGUAAAACUCUGCUGUGAGGGAAGAACAAGUACCAACUAACUACUGGUACCUUGACGGUACCUCACCAGAAAGCCACGGCUAACUACGUGCCAGCCGCCGCGGUAACAC